AUUGAACGCUGGCGGCAGGCCUAACACAUGCAAGUCGAACGGUAACAGGAAACAGCUUGCUGUUUCGCUGACGAGUGGCGGACGGGUGAGUAAUGUCUGGGAAACUGCCUGAUGGAGGGGGAUAACUACUGGAAACGGUAGCUAAUACCGCAUAACGUCGCAAGCCCAAAGAGGGGGACCUUCGGGACUCUUGCCAUCGGAUGUGCCCGGAUGGGAUUAGCUAGUAGGUGGGGUAACGGCUCACCUAGGCGACGAUCCCUAGCUGGUCUGAGAGGAUGACCAGCCACACUGGAACUGAGACACGGUCCAGACUCCUACGGGAGGCAGCAGUGGGGAAUAUUGCACAAUGGGCGCAAGCCUGAUGCAGCCAUGCCGCGUGUAUGAAGAAGGCCUUCGGGUUGUAAAGUACUUUCAGCGGGGAGGAAGGGAGUAAAGUUAAUACCUUUGCUCAUUGACGUUACCCGCAGAAGAAGCACCGGCUAACUCCGUGCCAGCAGCCGCCGUAA
rnacentral:rRNA from 1 species